GCCUAAUACAUUACUAAACUAAAUACAAGUAAAUCUCACCCUCGGAGAUGUUCCAAUAAGCUUCUUUCACAGACUAGACUCCUUCCUAGUGUGGGCCCAAUCCUUUCCCCAGUACAGUUCUUGUUAGUUCCAGCUCAGGUGGUAACUAGGGGUUUUCUCAUGACUGCCCUCCCCUUUUGUUCUGCUCCACUCCCUUUUAUAUUUUUGGCACAAGACGGGAAUCCUUUGUCUCUCUGGGGGUUCCCACCCUUCCUUCUAAAUG